CUGCUUGAACUGGAACAUUGAUGGAUUUAUGUACCCACUUUUUUGUACUUGGAAAGCGCAACGAAAGCAACUCAAAGUCAUGCUGUCAGGCUGUGUGUUGUACAUAGGAAGUGGACCCCUGGAGGAGAUGAAAGGUCUAUUUAAUACACUUUCAAUGAAAGUACAAGUCCUUCAAGAAGUAGGAGAAGCUAACAUGGCUAAGCAACAGAACAGAAUUCAUUUUAGGCAUUGCUUUCUAGAUUAAAUAGAUAGUGGAGUCAUAGAUCUUCAUAUUGAUUUUAUGUGCACAUCAAUAUGAGGAGCACCAGUCAAUGAAUAAUUGUGUGAUGAGAGAGUUUGUCUUUAGUGCCAUUUGAAGACAGUAGAGUGCCUCCCUGGAUUCAGUUACCAUUCACAGUGAACACUAUGAAGAAUAACCAAUAUAGAACAUAGAAGACUACCUCACAAACAUGGAAAAACUUCACAAACAUUUGAAAUAUUACAAGAAAAAUCCAAUAUUUUGAUUCAUGAAGAAGACAUUCAUUUUGACAUUCAUGUACAUCUUGUACUUGGAAAACUGAAGAAAUAAAAUUGUGAACAAAAAUACUUGAAAAUAAAGUUAGAAGUUUGAAAUUUA